GUAGGUGGCAAGCGUUGUCCGGAAUUAUUGGGCGUAAAGCGCGCGCAGGCGGGUUCUUUAAGUCUGAUGCGAAAGCCCACGGGCUCAACCGUGGAGGGUCAUUGGAAACUGGAGAACUUGAGUACAGAAGAGGAAAGCGGAAUUCCACGUGUAGCGGUGAAAUGCGUAGAGAUGUGGAGGAACACCAGUGGCGAAGGCGGCUUUCUGGUCUGUAACUGACGCUGAGGCGCGAAAGCGUGGGGAGCAAACAGGAUUAGAUACCCUGGUAGUCCACGCCGUAAACGAUGAGUGCUAAGUGUUAGGGGGGUUUCCGCCCCUUAGUGCUGCAGCUAACGCAUUAAGCACUCCGCCUGGGGAGUACGGCCGCAAGGCUG
rnacentral:rRNA from 1 species